CAGAAUCUUUUUUGCUGUGUUCUGUAGCUCUUCUUCAUGCAUCUUCUGCCUAAUUUUGCUGAAUGCUGGUGGGAUCAAGUCAUUUUGGACAUCCUGCUUUGUAACGGGGGUGGCAUCUGGUUGGGCAUGGUAGUUUGUCGUUUCUUGGAGAUGAGGACCUAUCACUGGGCAAGCUUCAAGGACAUUCACACGACCACAGGGAAAAUCAAGAGAGCUGUGUUACAGUUCACCCCAGCCAGCUGGACCUAUGUUCGCUGGUUUGACCCGAAGUCUUCGUUUCAAAGAGUGGCUGGAGUCUACCUUUUCAUGAUCAUCUGGCAGCUGACUGAGGUGAA